GUCGAGGGGCAGCAUGGUCUUAGCUUGCUAAGACUGAUGGCGACCGGCGCACGGGUGCGUAACGCGUAUGCAACUUGCCUCACAGAGGGGGAUAACCCGUCGAAAGACGGACUAAUACCGCGUACACUUAUUGGAGGGCAUCCUUUGAUAAGGAAAUGAAUUUCGCUGUGAGAUAGGCAUGCGUCCCAUUAGCUAGUUGGUGAGGUAACGGCUCACCAAGGCGACGAUGGGUAGGGGAACUGAGAGGUUGAACCCCCACACUGGUACUGAGACACGGACCAGACUCCUACGGGAGGCAGCAGUGAGGAAUAUUGGUCAAUGGGCGCGAGCCUGAACCAGCCAAGUCGCGUGAAGGAUGACUGUCUUAUGGAUUGUAAACUUCUUUUAUACGGGAAUAACAAGAGCUACGUGUAGCUUCCUGCAUGUACCGUAUGAAUAAGCAUCGGCUAACUCCGUGCCAGCAGCCGCGGUAAUACGGAGGAUGCGAGCGUUAUCCGGAUUUAUUGGGUUUAAAGGGUGCGUAGGCGGCCUGUUAAGUCAGCGGUGAAAUCUAGGAGCUUAACUCCUAAAUUGCCAUUGAAACUGGCGGGCUUGAGUGUAGAUGAGGUAGGCGGAAUGCGUGGUGUAGCGGUGGAAUGCAUAGAUAUCACGCAGAACUCCGAUUGCGAAGGCAGCUUACUAAGGUACAACUGACGCUGAAGCACGAAAGCGUGGGUAUCAAACAGGAUUAGAUACCCUGGUAGUCCACGCAGUAAACGAUGAUAACUGGGCGUAUGCGAUAUACAGUAUGCUCCUAAGCGAAAGCGUUAAGUUAUCCACCUGGGGAGUACGCCGGCAACGGUGAAACUCAAAGGAAUUGACGGGGG
rnacentral:rRNA from 1 species